rnacentral:misc_RNA from 1 species
CGCAGGCACAGUAUCGUUUCUCCCCCUUUAAAUUUGUGCCCCUUUAUCAUCAUACCUUCGUUCACCGCCGGGCCUUUUUAAUUUCUCUCUGCCUUUUAUCUCGUCUCCUGCCUCUCAGCCUUUUGUGGCUUUGGUCUGCAGUUCUCUUUGCAAGUUCAAGUUCGGAUUUCUUAACUUACAAAUAUGAAGAAAGUAGUGUUGAAAUUGGAGCUACACGAUGACAAAGAAAAGAAAAAAGCCAUGAAGAAAGUUUCUGGCCUUUCAGGAGUCGAAUCGAUCUCCCUGGACAUGAAGGACAAGAAAUUGACGGUAACUGGGGACGUUGAUCCAGUACAUAUAGUGGGCAAACUGAGAAAGCUCUGCCACACAGAAAUAGUUUCUGUAGGACCAGCAAAAGAGCCUGAAAAGAAGAAGGAAGAGCCCAAGAAAGAGACCAAAGAGAAAGACGAUGUGGCUGAGCUUGUUAAGGCUUAUAAGGCAUAUAAUCCUCACAUGACAACCUACUAUUAUGCUAGAAGUGUUGAAGAAGAUCCUAAUGCGUGUGUUAUUUGCUAGGUAGGUCUUACAAGAACUUACAGAGGAAAUAAUCUAGAAAAAGGAAAGAAAACAAAAGAAAAGCAUGUCUUUAUUGGUUGGUGAUAAUUUGGAUCAAAUUAGUAUCUAUGAUUGUACUAUCUGUACAGUGAGUGAUGUUGGGAUUUUCAACUUUAUGUUUUCUGGUUUUCUUCUUUCGAUGUAUCAAAUUAGUAUCUAUGAUUGUACUAUCUGUACAGUGAGUGAUGUUGGGAUUUUCAACUUUAUGUUUUCUGGUUUUCUUCUUUCGAUGUAUCAAAUUUUGGAAGUGAUUUGUCAUUAAUGGGUGUUCUCAAAGGUUUUCCAGUCUGCUGUUUGAUACAUAUUUAGGGUAUAAGAUUCAGAUCAAAUAUUGGGCCAUGUCACCUCUAAAUUUCGCGUAUAUGAGGAAUGUGGUUGUCCACGACUAAUGUAUUAAAGAAAAUGAUUACAAGAAAAGUACACGUAAU